GUAAACCAAGUUUGUGUUGUGCCAAAUAGCAUGGUCGGGAACGCUUUAUAGAGGAUUCCAUCUGAGGAACUACGUAACUAUAUCAUCGUGUUAUAUAUAAUGAUGUGCUCCUUGGGAUCUCCAAGCCUAUCGUAAGGUGAUAAAGUGGGGACUUUAAAUUUGCUGGGCACGGUCUCUUUCUGGAUAUUCUUCGAGAAAAGGGAUGAGGUGUCCAAUAUGGUACUU
rnacentral:lncRNA from 1 species